rnacentral:rRNA from 1 species
GACGAACGCUGGCGGCGUGCCUAACACAUGCAAGUCAAAGGAAAGCGGCUUCGGCCGGGAGUACUUGGCGCAAGGGUGAGUAAUGUAUAGGUAAUCUGCCCUUUGGACUGGGAUAACCCCGAGAAAUCGGGGACAAUACCAGAUGAUGCAGCGGAACCGCAUGGUUAUGUUGUUAAAGAUUUAUCGCCAAAGGAUGAACCUAUAUCCCAUCAGGUAGUUGGUAAGGUAACGGCUUACCAAGCCUACGACGGGUAGCUGGUUUGAGAGGAUGAUCAGCCACAUUGGAACUGAGACACGGUCCAGACUCCUAUGGGAGGCAGCAGUGAGGAAUAUUGCGCAAUGGGCGAAAGCCUGACGCAGCAACGCCGCGUGGAUGAUGAAGUUUUUCGGAAUGUAAAGUCCUUUUGUAGAGGAAGAAUAUCUCUGUG